CCUACGGAGGCAGCAGUGAGGAAUAUUUGUCAAUUGCCGUAAGGCUUAACCAGCCAACGCGCGUGAAGGGAUAAUGAUCUAUGGUUUGUAAACUUCUUUUAUCGGGGAAUAAAGGUAUCCACGUUUGGAUAUUUUCAUGUACCCUAUGAAUCAUCAUCGGCUAACUCCGUGCCCGCAGCCGCGGUAAUACGUAGGGAGCGAGCGUGUGCCGGAAUUACUGGGUGAAAAGGUAGCGUAGGCGGGCGAGAAAGUUGAAUGUUAAUUCUACCGGCUAAACUGGUAGCUGCGUUCAAAACUUCUUGUCUUGAGUGAAGGAGAGGCAGGCGGAAUUCCAAGUGUAGGGGUGAAAUGCGUAGAUAUUAGGAGGAACACCAGUGGCGAAGGCGACCAGCUGGGCUUUAACUGACGCUGAGGCGCGAAAGCGUGGGGAGCAAACAGGAUUAGAUACCCCGGUAGUC
rnacentral:rRNA from 1 species